rnacentral:tRNA from 1 species
CAGGGUGUGGGAAAGUUGGUAAUCCGCUCCCCUCGGAAGGGAGAGAUCGUCAGUUCAAGUCUGACCACCCUGACCA